UUUUUUUUUUUUUUUUUGGAAGGCAGUCUUGCACAGAUCCAAACUAGGUGGAAAAAUGCUUAAGAUUUCCCCACUUUCUCAAAAAAUGUCAUCACUAGUCCCAAAUCAGUUAACCCUUUGCUCACAUAAAAUGCAUUUGUACUCCUUAAAUGCAUCAACAAAUCAAGAUUCCUGUUAAAUCUAAGAACACAUAAGAGUAGAAUUAAACAGUUUGGCAGGCAGGUCCUCUGACUGCUGAACUCUUGGAAAUACAAUCACUCACCGUAGAUCCUUUUUCCUCACAUAAGGGCUAUGAAGUGAGCUUCCUAACUAUGCUUCAGCUGAGCACAUAGCUUUCUUCAAGGCAGGAACACCACUUCACCCUAAUUGCUAUCGUUUCUUUUCAUAGUUGGCGCUAUCUCUGGCUUCUUGACUUGUGGACUGUGUGAGAAGCAGAUGUAGCGAGAGGGCUUUAAACUGAGAAGGGAAGACAGGCAGUAAAUCUAAAAUACAAAAUUAAUUAGGAACUAAUUCAGGAAGAGAGUAUAACUUGCUGACUUUAUUGCCAUCUUCAAAGUAGAUUGGGAGAUGGUAAAAUUCCCUUUGAGCAGCAAAGUGAAACAACAGUCAAAUGUGAAUUCCAUCUUAACAAUUCUUUUCACUUAAAUACAGCCCCCCUUUUAAGAGAAAGAGACUCGCAAUAUCAUAAACUUACAAUUACGUAUUAAUGCAAGGAAGAUGGGGUCUGGGUAACACGAAGGGGAUUGGCAAAGGCAUUCAUCUCUUUGUUCAGAAAUCAUUAUAUCGACCUUGACUUACUGGCAUGUAGCAGGCUCGGGCUGGCCUGACCAGCAGCAGAGUCCCACCCUCCAUCCAGGAGCUCAUUCUCCUUCACUGAUUAAAGUAAGGAGAGCAAGUCAUUCAGCCACAGGAUCCCCAAGAUGAAAGGCAUUUAAAAAUAGUUUGGAACACACACAAAAAUCUUCCUUUACCAUUAAUAAGGAUUUCUCUUGUUUAUUUAUUUAUUUUUUUUCGAUGACAGCUUUUUUCACAGUGCCUAUUGUUUUGCUUUGUGAGAGAUAGAAACUUGUUAGUUUUUCUUCUUUUAAGUUAAAAAAGACUAAUGGGAGCUAUUAGCAGUUGGAGUGAAACUCAUUCUUCAUUGCCAAGAUCAUAAAAGUUAUGUCAUGUGAAAAUAUAAAUGUCAAAGGAUUUAUGGCAGGGUGGCCCUUUAAACACCCCAGACAGCACUAUUGUAAUGCACAGAGAGAAAAAUACCCCUUUUUCUUUUUAGUAUAUUACACUGGCAGAGACACUCUGAAAAUAGCUCAGGAUCAGAAAAACAUUCAUGGCCCUCAUGUUGGUAUCUUGCAUAUUGGGGACUACCUGUACUCACCCUGCUCUCCCUGUAGAGCCUGCACUCAAAUCCCGAGUGUUCUGUGAGAACUGGUGAAGACACCUCCUCCAGGGAGCCUUCUCUGAUUUACUUCCCUUUAAGAGAAUCAUGCUAUUGACUUGAAUCUUUCAGCAAUUGUGGACUGAGCCCUUUAUCAGGAUAUUUAAUACUGACAUACCCUUCCAGAUCUGUUUCAUUCUCUUUUAAAAUGUAAUACUAAUAAAAUAAAUAGUUGCAUAUUGUUAAUGCACAUUAUCUUAGACAUAUACAUCUAAUCUCCAAAAUUAGAUUG
rnacentral:lncRNA from 1 species